rnacentral:misc_RNA from 1 species
UUUAGAAACAGGCAAAGUGCUUUUCAGAAGUGGCUUUUGGAUUGAAGUGUUGUUUUGGAGAAGGGAAAGGGCAGCCUCCCUGCUCCAACUUCAGGGACAGAAAAGGGAUUGGUGGGCAUCUGUAUUUUAUUGGAACUAAAGAAACUCGUACAUGAUUAAAUACUCAGCUGUUGAUGAACUUGUGAUGAACCACAAUGUACAAUUGGGAUCGGAUCGUCGGAUCUCUUCCAUUUCAGUUCUGAUCUCAAGGAUCAUAGGAUUUCCCUUCUUGGAAAGAGUGAGUGGACGGCUCAUAAAACAAAGCGGCAUCACUAUCUUAGCUUGCUUUCUCCUCUGCCAAACUAGUUUAGACACGAACCAAUAUUAAAAGAGAGAUUGAUAGGGUCCAAGAAAUU